GAUGAACGCUGGCGGCGUGCCUAAUACAUGCAAGUCGAGCGAACAGACGAGGAGCUUGCUCCUCUGACGUUAGCGGCGGACGGGUGAGUAACACGUGGAUAACCUACCUAUAAGACUGGGAUAACUUCGGGAAACCGGAGCUAAUACCGGAUAAUAUAUUGAACCACAUGGUUCAAUAGUGAAAGACGGUUUUGCUGUCACUUAUAGAUGGAUCCGCGCCGCAUUAGCUAGUUGGUAAGUUAACGGCUUACCAAGGCAACGAUGCGUAGCCGACCUGAGAGGGGGGUCGGCCACACUGGAACUGGAACAGGGACAAGACUCCUACGGGAGGCAGCAGUAGGGAAUCUUCCGCAAUGGGCGAAAGCCUUACGGAGCAACGCGGAGUCAGUGAUGAAGGUCUUGGGAUCGUAAAACUCUGUUAUUGGGGAUAAACAAAUGUGUAAGGAAAUGUGCACGUAUUGACGGUAACUAAUAAGAAAGCAACGGCUAACUACGUG
rnacentral:rRNA from 1 species